AAGUAUUGGACUUAUAAAAAGAAGAAGUAAAAUAGGGAAAUUAUGAUGUAAAAAGGAUGCAGAGAUUAAUCUGGAAAGGCGUAAGAAGCAAUAAUUUAAAAAGAAGAAAAAAGAUGUUGGUUAGUUAGGGCGGGGAAGUAAUUUGGUUGUUUUGUUGGGGGAAAAGGACAAGCAUGGAAAAACGCAGACAAACAAUGUUGUUCCAAAAAGAAAGAAAAAGUAAGCCCCUUGAGAUGCCAUGUACAACAGUAACCCUGAACCCAGAAAGAGAAAAAAAGGGUGGGUUGGGAGAAGAAGUAAAUUGAGCCCUUCAGAUGAGAGAGAGAGAGAGAGAGAGAGGGUGUCCCUUUGGAAAGGAUGAUGUAGAGGAUUAGAGGUGGAAAGGGGGGGCAUGGAGAAGUGGGUUAAUGUAACCAACGGUUUGAAGUUGUGACUAGGAAGUAANNN
rnacentral:lncRNA from 1 species